rnacentral:rRNA from 1 species
GCAGUCGAACGCAGUAGCAAUACUGAGUGGCAGACGGGUGAGUAACAUGUGGGAAUCUGCCUUGUGGUUCAGGACAACAUUGGGAAACCGAUGCUAAUACUGGAUAAGCCCUUACGGGGAAAGUUUUAAUGCCAUAAGAUGAGCCCGCAUUUGAUUAGUUAGUUGGUGAGGUAAUGGCUCACCAAGACAAUGAUCAAUAGCUGAUCUGAGAGGAUGAUCAGCCACACUGGGACUGAGACACGGCCCAGACUCCUACGGGAGGCAGCAGUGGGGAAUCUUGCACAAUGGAGGAAACUCUGAUGCAGCGAUGCCGCGUGAGUGAAGAAGGCCUUUGGGUUGUAAAGCUCUUUUGUAGGGGAAGAUAAUGACUGUACCCUAAGAAUAAGGUCCGGCUAACUUCGUGCCAGCAGCCGCGGUAAUACGAAGGGACCUAGCGUAGUUCGGAAUUACUGGGCGUAAAGCGCGCGUAGGCCGUUGAGUUAGUUAAUUGUGAAAUCCCAAAGCUUAACUUUGGAACUGCAAUUAAAACUGCUCGACUAGAGUUUGAUAGAGGAAAGCGGAAUACAUAGUGUAGAGGUGAAAUUCGUAGAUAUUAUGUAGAACACCAGUUGCGAAGGCGGCUUUCUGGAUC